GAUGAACGCUGGCGGCGUGCCUAAUACAUGCAAGUCGAGCGAACAGACGAGGGGCUUGCUCCUCUGAUGUUAGCGGCGGACGGGUGAGUAACACGUGGAUAACCUACCUAUAAGACUGGGAUAACUUCGGGAAACCGGAGCUAAUACCGGAUAACAUGUUGAACCGCAUGGUUCAACAGUGAAAGACGGUCUUGCUGUCACUUAUAGAUGGAUCCGCGCCGCAUUAGCUAGUUGGUAAGGUAACGGCUUACCAAGGCAACGAUGCGUAGCCGACCUGAGAGGGUGAUCGGCCACACUGGAACUGGGACACGGUCCAGACUCCUACGGGAGGCAGCAGUAGGGAAUCUUCCGCAAUGGGCGAAAGCCUGACGGAGCAACGCCGCGUGAGUGAAGAAGGUCUUCGGAUCGUAAAACUCUGUUAUUAGGGAAGAACAAAUGUGUAAGUAACUAUGCACGUCUUGACGGUACCUAAUCAGAAAGCCACGGCUAACUACGUG
rnacentral:rRNA from 1 species